rnacentral:rRNA from 1 species
UACGUAGGGGGCAAGCGUUGUCCGGAUUUAUUGGGCGUAAAGAGCGUGUAGGCGGCCAUGUAGGUCCGUUGUGAAAACUCGAGGCUCAACCUCGAGACGCCGAUGGAAACCAUGUGGCUAGAGUCCGGAAGAGGAGAGUGGAAUUCCUGGUGUAGCGGUGAAAUGCGCAGAUAUCAGGAAGAACACCCCGUGGCUAAGGCGGCUCUCUAGUGCGGUACUGACGCUGAGACGCGAAAAGCGUGGGGGAGCGAACAGG